CCUACGGGUGGCAGCAGUGAGGAAUAUUGGUCAAUGGACGCGAGUCUGAACCAGCCAAGCCGCGUGAAGGAAGACGGCCCUAUGGGUUGUAAACUUCUUUUGUAUGAGAGUAAAACCCGCUACGUGUAGCUUUUUGUAAGUAUCCUACGAAUAAGGAUCGGCUAACUCCGUGCCAGCAGCCGCGGUAAUACGGAGGAUUCGAGCGUUAUCCGGAUUUAUUGGGUUUAAAGGGUGCGUAGGAGGUUAGUUAAGUUAGAGGUGAAAUUUUGGGGCUCAACCGGGACAGUGCCUUUGAUACUGUCAGGCUUGAGUAUAGUAGAGGUAGGCGGAAUGUGUGGUGUAGCGGUGAAAUGCAUAGAGAUCACGAAGAACACCGAUUGCGAAGGCAGCUUACCGAACUGCGACUGACGCUGAGGCACGAAAGUGUGGGGAGCAAACAGGAUUAGAUACCCGUGUAGUC
rnacentral:rRNA from 1 species